rnacentral:rRNA from 1 species
CCCUUAGAUGUUCUGGGCUGCACGCGCGCUACACUGGUGCACUCAACAAGUUUACAACCUUGAUCGAUAGGUCUGGGUAAUCUUUUGAAUAUGCACCGUGCUAGGGAUAGAUUAUUGCAAUUAUUAAUCUUGAACGAGGAAUUCCUAGUAAAUGCAAGUCAUCAGCUUGCGUUGAUUACGUCCCUGCCCUUUGUACACACCGCCCGUCGCACCUACCGAUUGAAUGGUCCGGUGAAAUCUCGGGACGGCGGCUUGGUCGCUUGCGUCCGACUGCUGAAACUUGAUUAAACCAUAUCAUUUAGAGGAAGGUGAAGUCGUAACA